CCUACGGGAGGCAGCAGUAGGGAAUAUUGCUCAAUGGGGGAAACCCUGAAGCAGCAACGCCGCGUGGAGGAUGAAGGUUUUCGGAUUGUAAACUCCUUUUGUUAGAGAAGAUAAUGACGGUAUCUAACGAAUAAGCACCGGCUAACUCCGUGCCAGCAGCCGCGGUAAUACGGAGGGUGCAAGCGUUACUCGGAAUCACUGGGCGUAAAGUGCGCGUAGGCGGGAUAGCAAGUCAGAUGUGAACUCCUAUGGUUAAACCAUAGAACUGCAUUGAACACUGUUAUUCUAGAGGAUGGGAGAGGUAGGUGGAAUUCUUGGUGUAGGGGUAAAAUCCGUAGAGAUCAAGAGGAAUACUCAGUGCGAAGGCGACCUGCUAGAACAUAACUGACGCUGAUGCGCGAAAGCGUGGGGAGCAAACAGGAUUAGAUACCCAGUAGUC
rnacentral:rRNA from 1 species